rnacentral:rRNA from 1 species
UACGUAGGGUGCGAGCGUUGUCCGGAAUUACUGGGCGUAAAGAGCUCGUAGGCGGUUUGUCGCGUCGUCCGUGAAAACUUGGGGCUCAACCCCAAGCUUGCGGGCGAUACGGGCAGACUUGAGUACUGCAGGGGAGGACUGGAAUUCCUGGUGUAGCGGUGAAAUGCGCAGAUAUCAGGAGGAACACCGGUGGCGAAGGCGGGUCUCUGGGCAGUAACUGACGCUGAGGAGCGAAAGCGUGGGUAGCGAACAGG